AAAAACCAAAAAAAAAAAACAAAACAAACGCUCUCAGCCCUCUCUAUCUCUCUCUGCCACACUAUCUCUCCAUGUCUAUGUUCUUUCAUCAUCUCCUUGCAAGAACAUUACCAUAGAAAAUACUCUCCAAACCCUCUCUCUCUCUCUCUCUCUCUCUCACACACACACACACACACACACACCCAAACCCAAAUCGACAUCAAGAGCUCCAAGAAGCAAAAACCUCUUCAAGUUGAACACAAUGAUGUGAAGCUAUUGACUUAGACCUGAUGUUCGAUUCUGAUUCAUCUAUUCCAGGAGUAACCAUAACAACUAGUGAGAAGUAGAAUAAGGAAUGAAGAAAAGAUGCAAAGAGAGAACUUUGAGAAUAGAAGAAUGAAGAGAGAGAGAGAGAGAGAGAGAGAGAGAGAGAAGUAACGAUGAAGUGAGAGACAACUAUCGGAGGGAGAAUGCUUGAAGGAGACGGAAGAGACAAAUGCAUGCCACUCGGUGAAGAAAGAAUCUUCGACCCAUCAGUCAGGGAGAAACUGAGCCUGUAGGGAUCUUCUUUUGCAGAAGUUGAACACAAUGAUAUGAAGCUAAGAUUUGAUGUAUAUAUAUAUAUUUUUAUUAUAUUUGUUUGUUGAAGGAAUUUGUCAAAUUUGAACUUGGGUGGGGAGAUUUCACCAGCCAUUGGAGACCUGAAGAAUCUACAGUUCAUAUGUUAUAUUUGAAAUAUUUUCAGGGAUUUUCAAGGGAACAAAUUAACUGGUCAAAUUCCUGAUGAGAUAGGCAACUGUGUUUCUCUGAUGCUGGUGUAAAAUUUCAUCUUCUUUCUUCAUUGCAAUUUUAUUUUCAUAUAUGUGGAUGUAUUAAUAUCUUCUUCUGUCUUUAGGUGAUUAAGAUUUUUAGUCUUUAUUUUAAUAGUGGCAUGUUAUUUUCUAUUAUAUCUCAUUAGCCCUGCUUUGAAGUAUCUCGCUACUACAAUUUCCAACUUCCCUGCCUUACAACUACUAGAGAAGACUAGAACAGAAACUAAAUGUCAAUUCUUUUGAGGAAAACAGAAUGGUGGUUGCAUUCUCUCUCUCUCUCUCUCCUUUUCCUUCUUUUUGGCUUGACUUCAUAAGUUGGUAGAUUGUAUAUGUUUUUGACAUGUUUGUCUAUGACUAGUUUGUUACUUAGCUAGUCUAGUUCUCCUGUAGCAGUGCUUAAAUGAAUUCAUAAUUUCUUUAUAUUUCAUGAGUAAAACUUUUCUUUUACAGGGGAUUCUUCCACGGAUACUCAUUAAUUACAACUCUCAUGUUCUUAACCAUGCACUAUGUGGCAUUGCUGUAUCGAUGGUCAUGAAGUAUGCUGACAAUAUUGACAAUAUUGUGAAGGUGUGUCUAUGAAUAUUAUUUUGUAUUUGUAUCAAAGGUGCCCUAGUUCGCAUACUGUGCCUGUAUAAUGUUCUACAUUUAUUCAUUUAUGAUGCAAAGAAAAGAACUAGUAUAACUAGUAUGUAUUGGCUGGAAGAUUGUUAAUUGUCACUUCAGCGUGAAGGCAUGCUCCACCGAGCAGUAAGCUUGCAUGGGGCCUUUCUGGAUAUUGCCACCUAGUGCUGUGCCUUAACUUGAGACUAGCCUUGACUAGCACACGUGGCAAUAUUUAAUUGAUCUAGGUGUCACCUUACGAGGUUGGCAUCUGGAAUCAAGAUCUGUUGGAGGAGCUAAUCUGGCAAUGGCGUGGCCAAGCCACAUGCAUGGUGGACCCAUGUACCUGCACUUGUCAAAAAGAAAAGGAAUUCUUUCUGUAUCAGUACACAUUGAAAAACGCGUUAUAUUGUUUGGUUCCAUAAUGCAGGGAUUUAUCUGAUAAUUUACUGUAUGGAGAUAUACUAUUCUCAAUAUCCAAGCUUAAGCAGCUUGAAUUAUUGUAAGUUAAAUACCUGAAGUGAAGUACUAUUAACUAAGUAUGCUGGAUUGUUUUAGAUAAGUUUUUAGUUCUACCAACCAAGGGCUUGAGUAAGCUCUGUAAAUGCAGGAAUUUGAAGAACAAUCAAUUGAAUGACCCUAUCCCUUUAACGUUAACACAGAUUCCUAACCUCAAAACUUUACAAGAAAUGCAACAAGGUUAGUUGCUCCAGCUAUUGCUACGGGUUUAGGUGCCUUAACACAUUCAUUGGGCACCCUCGUCCCUGUGAUAGAUCAAGUGGAUUUGCUGCAGCUGCAACUGUUAUAGGAAUUGUUGUCGAUAGUUUUAGAUAAUCUCUUAAUAGUUGUCGAUAUAUUUAGAAAGUUAGAUAUGUAUAGUUUUGGAUGGUUUAAACUUGUUGUACAGUUUAAAACUUAAGGAUAUAGUUUUCGAAUGUUUGGAAUGUA